UCCUUGUAAUGCUCUGAAUUUGGUUUGCAGAUAUUUUGAAAAUUUUUCUAUGUUCAUCAGGAAUUUUGGCCUAUAGUUUCCUUUUUUAGUGGUGUCCUUGUCUGGUUUUGUUAUCUGGGUAAUGCUUGCAAUAUGAAAUGAGUUUGGAUAAGUUUCCUCCUUUUCUGCUUUAUGAAUGAGUUUGAGAAGGAUUAGUAUUAAUUCUUCUUUAAAUGUUUAUUUCUUAUAUCUAUGAAAUACUAACACUUCAUCUACUUUUCACUUUUUUUUUUUUUUGAUUUUGGGUCCAGGUUAGAAAGUGUCCUUAUUUUGAGGUUAUCAACAAAUUUACUACAUUUUCUUCUGGACAUUGUACAGUUUCACUUUUAUAUCUCUGACCCAUUUGGAAUUAAUAUAUAGUAUAGAAGAUGAAACCAGUUAUAUCUUUUUUUCAUAUGGCUAUUUUGUAAUCAGAAUACCACUUGUUUAAAUUAUUUUUCCACUGAUUUGAAAUGCCAUUUUUAUCAUUAAAUUUCCAAAGGCACUUGGGUCACUUUCUGAAUUUUUAAAAUUAUUUUCCAUUGGUCUGUCUCUUCAUCUACCAGUUGCACAUGGUGUCAUUUACAGAAGAUUUAUAACAUGUUCUCACAUCUGGUAGGGCUACUGACACUCUUUGUUGUUUUUGACUUUCUAGGUUGUCGUGCGCUCUUUCCAAUGGAACCUCAUAAUCAUCUUCUGAUUCUGUAGGGGGAAACUUAAUAGUCUUCCUAUCUGUCAUCGUUAUGCUUUACAUUUGUCCCAACUAUACUUUACAGGGAUUAUUUUAUAAGUUUUAUGUCCGGUAACUUUGCAUAUUUAUGUGUAGAGGUUUGCUUUCAGUAUUGUAAAUUAAGUCCUCAAUUAUACUUUUUAAUUGCUUUGUGUUUACACAUAUGAAGGCUAUUUAUUCCUCUUUGAUGUAAGUUGCUAAAUGUUGAUUAGUCCUAUUAAGCUAUUGUCUCUCAGCUCCAGACCCAGACCUGAUGCUGAGGGAAAUACUGGGGCCAGGAAACUGCAAACCGCAUUUCAGUUUUGCCAGCUGGUUCCUUGUUAGGUCCUGGAAUACAGUUCUCUAAAGGCAGACAUAACCAGGGUGCAGGCCCCUCUGAGUGUUGUGCCUGGCCAUGGCCCUCCAUCUGGAAAUAGUUGGUUACACUCUUCAAGUUUAUUUGCUUGCUUCUUUGACGGUAUUGCCCAAAUUUGUCUUACCCUUCCCCCUUUACAGAAACUAGCACCAGCUGGGUAACUCCCAGUCUUAGAGGCCUGGUUCUGAGAUCCAGGUGAGGCUCGGAUGAAUUCAGCUUCUUUCCUUUGUUCUCCAAGUCCUAGGGAUGGUAGAUGCUUUCUGCAGAUAUUCUGUUACUGCCUUUUGCUUUUGUUUAAGAUGUAAUUCACAUACCAAACAACCGACCAUUCUAUGCGUGCAGUUCAGACUUACGCAAUCAUCACCACUGUCUAAAUUCAGGACGUUUUUAUCACUCCAUAAAGAAACCCUGCAUCCAUUAGCAGUCACUUCUUCCCUCCCUGGCAACCACUAAUCUGUUGUCUUCGUGGACUGGCCUGUUCUGGACAUGUCCUACAAACAGAAUCACACCAUAUGUGGUCUUUGGUGUCUGGCUUCUUUCACUGAGCAUAGUGUUUCUAAGGUUCAUCCAUGUAACAUUUAUAAGUAUUCGUUCCUUUUUGUGGCUGAUUAAUAUUCCACCGAAUGGAUAUACCACAUUUUAUUUAUCCACUCAUCCCGUGGCGGGACAUUGGGUUAUUUCCAUAUUUUGGCUAUUACCAAGAAGGCUCCUAUGAACAUUCACGUACAAUCUUUUAGAGCAACAUACAUUUUCUAUUCUCUCAGAUAUAUAGCUCGGAGUACAAGCGCUGCAUCAAAUGGUACCUGCCAAACUGUUUCAACAGCAGCUGCACCACUAGACCUUCUCACCAGCAGUAUUUUUGCACCUCCUUAUCAACACAGGUUAUUGUUCAUCUCUUUGAGUCUAGUCAUCCUAGUGGAUAUAAAAUGGUAUCUCACUGUGGUUUUGAUUUUUCUUUCCCUACUGAUAUCGAACACCUUUUUUUAGUGCUUGUUGGCCAUUUGUCUAUCUUCUGUGGAGAACGGUCUAUUCAAAUCUUUUGCCUGUUUUUAAUUGGGUUAUUUGUCUUACUGUUGAAUUAUAAGAUUAAGUAGGAAAAUAUAUACCAGAUCAAAUAAUGUCAUGCUGUUUAAUAUCUUUUAGUUACAAUGUUGAUGAGAUGGUGUAGGAACUUAAUUCUUGUUAAUAGCAAUUAGCCUAUGGUAAAAUUGGUUUUGUUACGUCAUUUAGCUUAAAGUCAUAAAACCUUGUCAACAUUAAAUGAGUUUAAUGGACUGUUUUUAUUUAUAAAAAGCUGAGAAUAAUGAACUUCAAUUUUAUAGAAUACCAUCACACUGGCCUGUUACUGAUAAAUGAUGUGUGUGCUAAUAUCACUGUGAAAUAUUUUAUAUUUUGAGUUCAGUGACGGCUAAUUCAUUUGCCACUAGGCUAGAUAAAUCUGAUAGCAUGUUUUUAACCUUCCAGGUGAAAAGAGCGAGGUUUAUUAUUAAUCUCAGUUAUGUUCCAUGGCGAUGACAUAAAACUGUGUGAUUUCUGAUAGUGGUGUCUGGUGCUUAAAUAUGGUUGUGUUAAAGAAGGUGUACUUUCUAUUUUUAACAUUGAAUUUGAGAUACUACUUUGCUAUAUUUUGGACUGAGAGCUAUAAUCAAGUCUAUGACUGUGCUUUCUCCUCACAUCAUCUGUAGUUUGUGUUUGGGACCACAGAGCUAACAAUAAUGACUUUCACUGACAAUCAUGACCUUUAGUAUCCGAGUAUCCUCCUGUGUCUUUUUAAUUAGGGGUGUCUUCAUUCUACUUUUGUAGACAAGUAUGUAACACCUUCCUCAGUUGCAAUUGUCUCAUUUUUGCCUAUGCUUUUAUUUCUAACCUGUCUUAAUCCUUGCUUUAGUUUGGGCUGAGCGUUGUUAGCUAAUCUCAACUCUUCUCUUUAAAAUUAAGCCAAAUUGUUUAUUGAAAUUAUCAGUAUGUUUGGUAAUAGUGCCAUCAUUCUUUAUCCUUUUGUAAUGCAAUCACAUAUAUAAAAUCUUUCACUACAAUAGCUGGUUUCAUCAGUUUGAUGUGUAGGGAGGUUUGUAUUUUUGAUCUACUGGUUACCUUUACACUCUCUUACUUAGCUUAUUCAAUUUCUCAUUUUUAAUAGGUAUAUUAUAUCUACAUUGUGAGAGCAUACCAUCAUCAUCAUAUAGUACUUUGUUACCUUUAAUGACACUCCCUUACUGACUACAAUGUGAGCGCACUCUUGGUGCAGGUGGUCUACUGUAGGAAGCCCGUUACCCUCAUCACAGUUUACCCUAAAGCUCAGUGUCAGCUUUCUGUGUGUUAUAAAACAGUGAUUCAUUGAAAUAAUUAAGUUUUCUACUGGUAGCAAAUAUAUUCCCUAAAACAGAGAAAGCAGGAACUCUGAGUGGAUCUAUGUUGCUAAUUACAUUGAAAAUUUAAAAUAGUUCUGCCAAAGUUCAUCCCAAAGCAGCAGAAGGGAUCAGCAAAGACCACUUUCCCACCUACACCUACAAGCAGAGCUUUUCAUAUAUAAAUGAAAAAGCAGUGAGACAUUAUCAUAACUAAAACCAACUGAUACUCCUGGUUUCUUUUAAAAAUCGUACCUGAAGUUUGCUGCAGCUAGAGUAAGCUUAUUUGAAAUCAAAUAUGUUGCCAGGGGAAAAACUGGCACUUUUGGAAAAAAUAUAUGUAGUGUAUAUCACAUCCAUUAUUAACUAGGUUUGCUCGUUUUCACCACCUUUUUAAGUGUUCAUCCAAACAGUACCAUCUGACUAUAAACCCUCUUGCUAUAAACCAAGAUUGGUUCCAGAUAGUUCUAGGACAAUAUUUAGGAAGUUCAGCUUACAAAAUUUUAUUUCAAAUACCAGUUUAAUAUACUCAGAUAAAUAGGUUCUGGUAAAACACCAAAAUGAGGAUAGCUGUUACUUGUAAGAUACUUUCAUUCCUUCAACUUCCAUUUCUGGCAGAUUAUGGAAGGCCCACAAUUUCUUGCUACAUUAUACUUACAAAUGGUGACUACAGGGAGCAUCUUUUUACAUGGAUUUGAAGCUUCUAGUUUCAAAAGACUUAACUCUAGUGAAAGGUUCAAAUGAAAAAUAUCAGUUCACUGGCCUGGACUCCGAAUUUAUACUAUCUCUGUUCAGAAAAAAAAAGCUUGUCAGCCCAGGACUGCCCACGUGCAGUCCUGGGAAAUGGGCAGAGCAAGCCCAGUGCCUCUCUGCAGCUGCACACCCUCUUCCCAGCCUGGAGUUCCGCAGGUAAUACCGCUUAACUGAAGACAGCACACACAGAAUUAGGGUCCCACAAGCCUCUGAAAAUAGAUACAACCCAUCAGGAUCUCUAAAAUAAAAUGAACAGUAUACUGUGAAAAAAAUACUUCAUGCUCCUAACUACUGUGUCUCAUUAGACUGUUCCCUAUGCUAACUCAUUUAAUCUGCACAACCACCUUAUGAAGGAACUGAAGCAUAGCCUAACUUUCCAAGGUCACACACGCAGGGAAUAACAGAGCUGGGUGUAAAGCCAAGCAGUCUGGCUCCAAAGUCUAUGCCCUUAAUCUACAUGUGAAAUCAGGUGCCAGUCACUGAAAUUUUGGGAAAAAAAAUAAUGUUAAAAUCCAUAAGAAUGUUAAGAAUGUUAAAUAGUAUUAAGACAAUCAGAAUAAAUGGCUUAUAGGUAGGUGUGAGGAAGUCUAAGGACAUGAGGUAUAUAAAAUGAGAGUGGCUAAAAGAUUCCCAGAAAUGAUAAAAAGGCACGAAAUUC